GGACCACAUUAUCAAUCUUGAAGGUGGUACUAUCAUGCCAGUAACAGGCUAUAAGCUCUGUGAAACUCCUGUGAUUUGGCCAAAACCCCUCAUGGGAAACAGAACAGCUGCCGACAAGGGCUGAUUUCCUCAGUCACAAAUGUGUCACAGAGAAGGUGUUGACUCAGAGGAGGGACCAGGCAGAGGGUGAGUUCGGAGGCAGAGCUAUCCCCAAGUGGAGCCAUGCAGAGGAACUGCUUGCUCAUCUAUCUCACCCUCUUCUGGACAGGAGUCAUGUCAGCUAUCGUGUUGGUAUCUCAAGACAAAGUGAUGACUAUGUCCUUGGGGAUGUCUGCCACCCUCAGGUGCUCCUUGAAGGGAGAAACGAUCAGUAACUACUAUAUCAGCUGGUACAGGCAGACCCAGGGUAACACAAUGACUUUCAUACACCGAGAAGGGGGCAUGUAUGGCCGUGGUUUCUUCGGCAAGUUCCGGGCUAACAUUAAUGAUUCAAGCAAUGAGGCUGAGCUUGAGAUCCUUAAAGCAUCAGAAAGAGAUGAAGGAAUUUACUACUGUGCCAGCGACUACCACCCUGCUGCUGGCCCACUUCUAAACAAACUCAUCUUCGGAAAAGGAGUCCGUGUAACCGUGGAACCAAAAAGUCAGCCUCCUGCCAAACCAUCUGUUUUCAUCAUGAAAAAUGGGACCAAUGUUGCUUGUCUAGUGAAGGAUUUCUACCCCAAAAAUGUAAAUAUAAGUCUCCAGUCAUCCAAGAAAAUAAUAGAAUUUGACCCUGCUAUCGUCGUCUCUCCCAGUGGGAAGUACAGUGCUGUCAAGCUUGGUCGGUAUGAAGAUUCUAAUUCAGUGACAUGUUCAGUUCAACACAAUGAAGUCUGGUACUCCACUAACUUUGAAAAGAUGGCAAAUUCUUCAGAUAAUCUCAAACCAAUGAAACCUGAAAAAAAACAUCAUACUUCAGAGAUCUACCAUAAACCCAAAGUUCAUGCCGAGAAGGUGAACAUGAUGUCCCUCACAGUGCUGGGGCUCCGAAUGCUGUUUGCCAAGACUGUUGCUGUCAAUUUUCUCUUGACUGCCACGUUAUUUUUCUGUUAAGGCUGACAGGCAGGAGACAGCUACACUUCCAGAAAGAAACCAAAGCCUACAAAAGUGCUUCUAAGGCUUCUGACUUCUCAGUGAUUCAAGUUAACCCGCCCCAGCCUUGCUUAAAUGGCUGCUUCCCAAACAAGUUUCUCUUUGAAAGCAACAAACCCAGCUCGUCCUCCAGCCUCGUGGAAAGACCAAGUCCUGGGGGGUAGAGUUAUGGUCCUGAGUGCUUUAUAUGCUGCUUUAUAAAUGGAUAUAGAGAUAAAAGGGGACAGAGGGCUCAUUUUUUAUUUCUACAAUUGAUACACUUUGAAAAUGGUGUCUUGUUCCUUUUACUUUCUUUGCCUUCAGGACUAGAAAGUAGGAGCCAACAGGUUCCCAGCUCUGUUCUCCAAGAGGAAAGCAGACUCUGGGAGGAAGGAGGCAGGUGUCCUUUACCUUAACAUGAAAGGCUCUGCUCAACCCAGCACUGGAUCGGCCCCAAACUGGCAUCUCAUCCACAAAAGCACUUUCUGCUCUUUCUACUACUUUACAAACAAAAUUACAUUUGACUCCCUAACACUCUCCGUGUAGGCAGUGUGGGUAUUUUAAUAUCAUCUAAAUACUCUCCAAGUCAUUCACAGAGAUCAGAGUAAGACAGAGGAAAUGCACUUCUUUCUAUUAAUUCAUUUAACAAACAUGAAUUGACUCCCUCUAAAAUUCCAGGCACUGUGCUGAGGGUGCAAAGAUGAACAAGACAGGAGCUUGCCUUCAAGCAACUUACUAUGUAGGUAUUUUUGGAAGGAGGGAUAGAAAUGAGAGCCCUAGAUUUUCCCUGUAGAACCCCUGUAUCCACUCUCUCUUGCCUGCCAGUCUCUGCAUGGAGAGUUGGCGAUCACUGGACACUGACUCUGGCCUGGGCCCUUGGUUUGCAUGGCUUUCUGCCAUUCUUCUCUGACCUGUCUCUGUUGUAUUUAUUAAAGCGUAUUGUGUGUGCCUCACCUCUGGCUUUACCCUAUUGUGACCACCACAGGCAGAAAUUUACCACAGGGCGCUAUGAAUUCACUGUUGGUCAGACUAAGCUUAUUGGUCAAACCCCAGCUUCCUGAGCCCCCAGCCUUCAGGCUUUCUGCCUCAGGGGCCCAGCCCUGGGUUUCCUGUUGUUGCUGCUUCUGCUACAGCAAUUCACAACAGCAGUGUCCCCAGGAUAGCCCAUGAGCUCUGCUACUCCCGCCUCAGCAAGGCCACAGCUGUUUCCAGGUGCAUGCACUUAGGUAGCAGAGCCCUAGCAACCCAGUAUUGUGGUUUCCUCAGCACCCACAUGGGUGUCAAGUGGGGGCUUAUGAGGUUACAAGUGAAAGAGCACCCCUCACCAGCAACUCCCUUGCCAUCACCAUCAGCAAACUCCCACAUCAUGUCCUCAUAGCCCAAAUCAAAGAAAGGAGGCAGUAGCACUGAGUCAAUGGGGUGAGGGCAAUCUAAAUGGAUAAACCAGGUCCGUCCAGGUAAAAACCAUGAAAAGAUUCCACACAGCUUCAUCUUGUAUAUGUAAAGAAUGCUUGUUUCCAAAACAUUCACAUCUGUUACCUUGAGUCACAUUAAAAUGUUUCUCUGAAGU